rnacentral:rRNA from 1 species
GAUUAACGCUAGCGGCAGGCCUAAUACAUGCAAGUCGAACGGCAGCGGGUGUAGCAAUACAUGCCGGCGAGUGGCGCACGGGUGCGUAACGCGUAUGCAAUCUACCUGUAACUGGGGAAUAGCCUUCCGAAAGGAAGAUUAAUACCGCAUAACAUCAUGAAGUGGCAUCAUUUUAUGAUCAAAACUCCGGUGGUUACAGAUGAGCAUGCGUGACAUUAGCUAGUUGGUGAGGUAACGGCUCACCAAGGCGACGAUGUCUAGGGGGUCUGAGAGGAUGAUCCCCCACACUGGUACUGAGACACGGACCAGACUCCUACGGGAGGCAGCAGUAAGGAAUAUUGGACAAUGGCCGCAAGGCUGAUCCAGCCAUGCCGCGUGCAGGAUGAAGGUGCUCUGCAUUGUAAACUGCUUUUGUUCGGGAAUAAACCCUUUCACGUGUGAGAGGUUGAAUGUACCGAAAGAAUAAGGGACGGCUAA